UACGGAGGGUGCAAGCGUUAUCCGGAGUUACUGGGCGUAAAGGGCGCGUAGGCGGCGUGUUAAGUCACUUGUGAAAUCUCUAAGCUUAACUUAGAACGGUCAAGUGAUACUGAUGUGCUAGAGUGCAGAAGGGGCAACCGGAAUUCUUGGUGUAGCGGUGAAAUGCGUAGAUAUCGAGAGGAACACCUGCGGCGAAGGCGGGUAGCUGGGCCGACACUGACGCUGAUGCGCGAAAGCGUGGGGAGCGAACAGG
rnacentral:rRNA from 1 species